rnacentral:rRNA from 1 species
AUUGAACGCUGGCGGCAGGCCUAACACAUGCAAGUCGAGCGGAGCGGCGGCCGGGCGAGUACUACCUAGGAAUCUGCCUGGUAGUGGGGGAUACCGUUCGGACACGGACGCUAAUACCACAUCCUAUCAGAUGUGCCUCGGUCGGAUUAGCUAGUUGGUGAGGUGAUGGCUCACCAAGGCUACGAUCCGUAACUGGUCUGAGAGGAUGAUCAGUCACACUGGAACGGAGACACGGUCCAGAAUCCUACGGUAGGCAGCAGUGGGGAAUAUUGUACAAUGGGCGAAAGCCGGAUCCAGCCAUGCCGCGUGGGUGAAGAAGUUCUUCGGAUUGUAAAGCACUUUAAGUUGAGAGGCGUUAACGACAGAAGAAGCACCGGCUAACUCUGUGCCAGCAGCCGCGGUAAUUC